rnacentral:rRNA from 1 species
AAGGUAAUAAUCCUGUAGUCGAAAAUGUUGUCUCUCUUGAGUGGAUCCUGAGUACGACGGAGCACGUGAAAUUCCGUCGGAAUCUGGGAGGACCAUCUCCUAAGGCUAAAUACUCUCUAGUGACCGAUAGUGAACCAGUACCGUGAGGGAAAGGUGAAAAGCACCCCGGAAGGGGAGUGAAAUAGAACCUGAAACCGUGUGCUUACAAGUAGUCAGAGCCCGUUAAUGGGUGAUGGCGUGCCUUUUGUAGAAUGAACCGGCGAGUUACGAUUUGAUGCAAGGUUAAGCAGUAAAUGUGGAGCCGUAGCGAAAGCGAGUCUGAAUAGGGCGUUUAGUAUUUGGUCGUAGACCCGAAACCAGGUGAUCUACCCUUGGUCAGGUUGAAGUUCAGGUAACACUGAAUGGAGGACCGAACCGACUUACGUUGAAAAGUGAGCGGAUGAACUGAGGGUAGCGGAGAAAUUCCAAUCGAACCUGGAGAUAGCUGGUUCUCUCCGAAAUAGCUUUAGGGCUAGCCUCAAGUGAUGAUUAUUGGAGGUAGAGCACUGUUUGGACGAGGGGCCCCUCUCGGGUUACCGAAUUCAGACAAACUCCGAAUGCCAAUUAAUUUAACUUGGGAGUCAGAACAUGGGUGAUAAGGUCCGUGUUCGAAAGGGAAACAGCCCAGACCACCAGCUAAGGUCCCAAAAUAUAUGUUAAGUGGAAAAGGAUGUGGCGUUGCCCAGACAACUAGGAUGUUGGCUUAGAAGCAGCCAUCAUUUAAAGAGUGCGUAAUAGCUCACUAGUCGAGUGACACUGCGCCGAAAAUGUACCGGGGCUAAACAUAUUACCGAAGCUGUGGAUUGUCCUUUGGACAAUGGUAGGAGAGCGUUCUAAGG